rnacentral:tRNA from 1 species
GUGGUUGUGGCUCAGUGGUAGAGCGCUUGCCUAGCAUGUGUGAGGUACUGGGUUCAAUUCUCAGCACCACA